AUAAUGGUGAUAUUAAAAUUCAAUUUAAAAUUAACUAUCCCGAAAAUAGAAAGAUCUACUUAGAUAAUCCAUAUGUUAGAAAUAAAAUUAUUGUAACAUAAAUAAAUUAAAAUAUAUAAGUAGUGGUGAAAGGCCUAUCACUUUUAUUGAUAACUGGAUUAAAAGAAAAUAUAUUAAGUAUACUAGUCAAUUUUUAAACGAUAAGGUUUAAAAAAAAAUGAAUGGAAUUAAAGCGUUAGUUUAUUAUUUAGUAAAACUAUUUAAUAUAUACGUAUAUAUUAAUAUAAAAAUUAAAUUGUAUAAACAUCAUUGAUAGCCUUUUAAUUGUCUUAAUAAUAUAAUUUACCAUUAAUAAUGUGUCAAUUAGUAGAUAUUUCAAAUAUUAUUAAGGAACUCGACAAAUAUUUUGUACGACUGUUUAUCAAAAACAUAACCAUAAGCAAAUUUUUAUGGUGACGUCCGCCCGGUGAUAAUUUAACGGCCGCAGUACUUUGACUGUGCAAAGGUAGCAUAAUAACUUGGCUUUUGAUUGGAGUCUGGAAUGAGUGAAAUAACGUAUAAUAAUUGUCUCAAAUAAUAUUGUAGUGAAGUUAUUUAAGAAGUGAAAAUACUUCUAUAUAUAAUAAAAGACGAGAAGACCCUUAGAAUUUUUACUAAAUAAAUAAAUUAUUAUUUCAUCGUUUUAGUUGGGGCAACUCUAUUUCAAGUAAAUAAAUAGUAAAAAGAUAAUAUAUACCGAUUUAAAUAAAUAAAAAUAAAUUACCUAAGGGAUAACAGCAUAAUUUUAUUAAAUGAGAUUGUGACCUCGAUGUUGGACUAGGUACUGCUAAAGCUAAACGUUUUACCAUUUAUGUUCUGUUCGAACUACUAUACCUACAUGAUCUGAGUUCAGACCGGCGUAAGCCAGGUCAGUUUCUAUCUUUAAUAUAGUAUAA
rnacentral:rRNA from 1 species